CUUCCUCUGCUUCCUGAGCUGUUGGAGAACAUCACACCCAUGGACACCGCACGUCACUUAUGGGCGCCACAUGUUUGGUCAGAACAACAACGACCUAAAGCAUACAUCCAAACCAACAAAAGGUGGACUUCACAAGACUGAAGCUUUGGAAUGACCCAGCCAGAGUCCAGACCUGARUCCCAUAGAAAAUCUGUGUGAUGAUCCGAGGAGGGCUAGGAACAAGAGAUAUCCUCAAAAUCUGACAGAUUUGGAGCAUUUUUGCAAAGAAAAGUGGGCAAAUAUUGUCAAAUCAAGAUGUGUGAUGUUGGUUGAUUCUCACCCAAAGAGACUGUGUUGUAAUAAAGUCUAAAGAGAAUCAUUAGUUCAAGGGUGUGCACACUUAUGUAACCACAUUUUUUAUUUUUUUUUUUUUACUUCCGCUCUGAAAAAUAUUUCUUUUUUUUUUUAAAUCAUACUAUUUAGAGGUGUUGUACUGAUGUUGGUUCAAGGGUCUGGCAGAACAGGUGCAGAAUAUUUGACACUUAGAAUGCUCACAGGUGGAUCUUAUUUAAAGAGGACCUAUUAUGCAAAAUUCACUUUUUAAAUUCUUUUUUACUCAUCUUUGGGUAUGUACUUCUUUAAAA